AUGAAUGAUACAGCGUUGAGAACGGCCCGGGUUUAGUUCUUGAUAGACAUUGAAGUUUGAAGCUAAUUAGGACCACGAGUUUAUUUCUACUUGCGAACUUGAACUGGCUGUUUGCCUCCUGCUGGUUCGACCAUAAGUGUCGUCAUGCAUUUGCCAUUCACAUGUUUUGUUCUCAAGUUUUUAGAAUUUUUGGCUCCAUCUCUCUCUCAAGAUGAGUUAGUUUGAUGUUGCUAUGGACAAUCCAUCUGAUGGUACCUGCCCAAUUGCUAGACAAGUAGAGGCUGUGAUUGGUGCCAACUGGUUGCUAUUCAGUUGAGGCCAGUUUACAAACCUGAAACCUUGUCCUGAACAUCAAGAUAUAUAUAGGGCCUAUAAAUAGGACAACUGCAGGUGACAUAUAUUAAGAUCGAGUUUUCUCCUGAGAUGCCGGCAACGGUGGACGGAAGCCUCAUCGGAGGGGAGGCAGAGUGAGAGUGUGAGAUAGAGUGAGUGUGGUUGGGAUCAGAAAGGGGUGGAUAAGGUUGCUUUUCUAGCUUUUAUUUUUUUAUUGAGGCCUCUAUUCAUCUUAAUAAUGAUCAGUGGGUCAAUGUAGAGAUUAGAUAAUAGUCUAAAGACAUUUCAAAUAUAAUUUUUGUUUAUGAUAAUUAAUAUUACUUUAACCUUAAAUAUUAAUAAUUUGUUUAUAUAUAUAGGGCCUAUAAAUAGGAUAACUGCAGGUGACAUAUAUUAAGAUCGAGUUUUCUCCUGAGAUUGUUUUGAUUUUAUGUUAUAACUUAAACACUCUCCAUGAUUGUUUUGAUUUUUCUCCAGGGAUUAUUACAUUUUAAUUGUUCGUAAAUCAUGCCUUUAUUGAUCUUGUGCAUGCUGGAGCUUUGGCCAGCAGAUGGCAGAACAGUAGGGGUUAUACUGCUAGGAGCAAGAACGCCGCAAUAGUUGGUAUGGUUGUGGCGCUUCCACCGCCCACAGGAAGCCUUGGGUCAAAGGUUUUUAUCCCUCUAUGAUUGCUCUAAGUGUCUAGGAUCUACAAGAGUUGUUAAUGAGCAAUCGAGACAUCUCUCAGAAGUGUUUCGAAUUAGGUGUUCGUUUUCAAGCGUCUCGAGAGUACAAUAUAAUGAAAAAAAUAUAAUAAUAUUAGGAAGCAUCACAUGGACCUGAGAUUUUGCUUUCUUUUGCCAUGGCUAUCCUUUCGAAAAUAUAUCCUUUAUGUUUUCGAUCAGCGAAAAAAAUGCUUAUCAUGAUUGACCCUAGACCUGUUGAAGAGUGGUGUAAAGACACACCAGCGCUUAUGUAUGCCAAAUACACUCUUGAAUUUAGCUACAACUACACGGCCGCAGUAAAUAAACAUAUUCCUAGAUGGGAUGAGGAUGUUUUCAAAUGGAAAUUUAAACGGGCAGAAAACAUUACAAAGGACAUAGAUGGGUACUUAAGUGGAUUUCUCAUCCUACAGUAUAUGUCUACAUGGAAUAGACCACAAGGCACGCACAUUUAUACCGAUGGCACAGAGAUGCGGCGGAACUUAUUUGUGGAUUUACUAGCGCACGAAAGAAAUGGAUAUCGAAGAUUUCUGCCUACCGAUAUUAAACAUUAUCUUAAUCGUAUCACGGAAAGGUCUAUAAAGUAGAAUUUGUGAUCCUAUAACGUCGUGCUCUCCGUGACCGUGUUUGAUUUUACAAACUUUGUUUCUUUAAGUUAAAUGUAACUUUAUAGUUGGUAUUUAAGUUUUAUUAUAAUAUUAUUAUCUUA